UGGGGGCGAGGGUGAACCUGGGGUCUAUCUGGUUAGUGUGCAUUCGUACAAAGUGUUUAUUACGACACUGUUAUUUGAUUAACAUCUUAUUUGUUUUUCUGCCACAAGUUCGAAAUAUUUCUUUAGUUGUUCAAUUUAUUAUACAUAUCUGUUCAAAAUAUUUUUUGCGAAAUUAUUAUUUGGUAAACAUCCUAUUUGAGAUAUCUCCCUGUGAGGCAGAUGAAUGGCCGAUGCUACUGGCAGAGCACCCAAGCGGUGCAGAGCGCGGAUAAUACGUCCAGGUGAGGGGCGUGGUAGAUGAGGAUCGAGGCCAACCGAAAAAAUGCAUAAUUCUCAAUCCGCCAUGAAAUUCGAGAAUGAGGAAUUAUGGCGAGAGUAAGACAGGUGGAAACAUGCUUUUCCUUUCUGUUUUUUCUAUUUUAUUGUUCAGUUAAUUUGUAAACAACUUUUCUGUAGUUGUUAGAGAUGAGUGAAGAGAUUUUUUCAUAAUUGUGAUUUUGUUCAUUUAGAAUUGGGUUAUGUUCAUUUAUUAGAAUUGUGUUCAGUAAAUCUAAAUAAGGUUUUCGUUUCUGCUAUGAAAUCUGAUUUUUU
rnacentral:lncRNA from 1 species